rnacentral:rRNA from 1 species
UACGUAGGGUGCAAGCGUUAAUCGGAAUUACUGGGCGUAAAGGGCGCGUAGGCGGCAAUUCAAGUCAGCUGUGAAAUCUCCGGGCUUAACUCGGAACGGUCAGCUGAUACUGCUUUGCUAGAGUGCGGAAGGGGCAAUCGGAAUUCUCGGUGUAGCGGUGAAAUGCGCAGAUAUCGGGAAGAACACCCGUGGCUAAGGCGGCUCUCUAGUACGGUACUGACGCUGAGACGCGAAAGCGUGGGGAGCGAACAGG